UUGGCUAAGGUGUCUUGGCUAAUGUGUCUCGACUAAUGUGUCUUGGCUAAGGUGUCUUGGCUAAUGUGUCUUGGCUAAGGUGUCUUGGCUAAUGUGUCUCGGCUAAAUUGUCUUGGCUAAUGUGUCUUGGCUAAGGUGUCUUGGCUAAUGUGUCUUGGCUAAGGUGUCUUGGCUAAGGUGUCUUGGCUAAUGUGUCUUGGCUAAAGUGUCUUGGCUUAGGUGUCUUGGCUAAUGUGUCUCGGCUAAUGUGUCUCGGCUAAAGUGUCUUGGCUAAGGUGUCUUGGCUAAUGUGUCUUGGCUAAUGUGUCUUGGCUAAGGUGUCUUGGCUAAUGUGUCUUGGCUAAGGUGUCUUGGCUAAGGUGUCUUGGCUAAGGUGUCUUGGCUAAGGUGUCUUGGCUAAGGUGUCUUGGCUAAUGUGUCUCGGCUAAUGUGUCUUGACUAAGGUGUCUUGGCUAUUGUGUCUUGGCUAAAGUGUCUUGGCUAAGGUGUCUUGGCUAAUGUGUCUCGGCUAAGGUGUCUUGGCUAAGGUGUCUUGGCUAAUGUGUCUCGGCUUAUGUGGCUUGGCUAAUGUGUCUUGGCUAAUGUGUCUUGGCUAAGGUGUCUUGGCUAAGGUGUCUUGGCUAAGGUGUCUUGGCUAAUGUGUCUUGGCUAAGGUGUCUUGGCUAAGGUGUCUUGGCUAAUGUGUCUUGGCUAAGGUGUCUUGGCUAAGGUGUCUUGGCUAAGGUGUCUUGGCUAAGGUGUCUUGGCUAAGGUGUCUUGGCUAAUGUGUCUCGGCUAAGGUGUCUUGGCUAAGGUGUCUUGGCUAAU